GGUCAGAUGGCCGAGUGGUGAGGCGGAGGUUAGCAAAACCUUUUACGGUGGUUCAACUCCAUCUCUGACCU
rnacentral:tRNA from 1 species